UAGGGGUGAAAGGCCAAUCAAACUUAGAGAUAGCUGGUUUUCUACGAAAUCUAUUUAAGUAGAGCAUUGUUUUUAAUUUUUAAAGGUAAAGCACUAAAUUAAAUCAUUAGAUUUAAAAAAACUCAGAAUGUUAAAAAUAUUUAAUAACAAUAGACAGGCUUUAGGCGCAAAGGUCUAAAGCCUAAAGGGAAAAAGCCCAGAUUAUAAGCUAAGGUUUUAAAAUAAAAUUAAGUGAAAAAAGUUUGAUUAAAUUUAAAACAAUUAAGAGGUGGGCUUAGAAGCAGCCAUCCUUUAA
rnacentral:rRNA from 1 species